rnacentral:rRNA from 2 species
CCAAUAGCGUAUAUUAAAGUUGUUGCAGUUAAAAAGCUCGUAGUUGAAUUUCGGGAUUGACACAUCGGUCGUGCCUUAAGGGGUAUGAACUGGUGUAGUCAAUUUCUCACCUUCUGGAGAACCGCGCUGUCCUUAAUUGGGUGACGCGGGGAACCAGGACCUUUACUUUGAAAAAAUUAGAGUGUUUAAAGCAGGCAUUU